rnacentral:rRNA from 1 species
AUACGGAGGGUGCAAGCGUUACUCGGAAUCACUGGGCGUAAAGCGCGCGCAGGCGGUCUUUUAAGUUGGAUGUGAAAGCCUACGGCUCAACCGUAGAACUGCAUCCAAAACUAUUAGACUAGAGUGUGGGAGAGGAAGAUGGAAUUAGUUGUGUAGGGGUAAAAUCCGUAGAGAUAACUAGGAAUACCAAAAGCGAAGGCAAUCUUCUGGAACACUUCUGACGCUGAGGCGCGAAAGCGUGGGGAGCAAACAGGAUUAGAUACCCUAGUAGUCC